CACUACAAUAUCUUAGUGAGAAUAUGAGUGACAUUUAGAAUUAAAUAUACACAAAAUGAUGAAUGUUGUGAAAAAACAUCCACAAAUACCCAUGUAUCCCUGGUCUAUGGCAAGUGAUACUGCUUUUACCUCAGCAGUAGAUUGAGGUAACUGACGGUGCCAAUCACUGACUGAGCUUUGGAAGACUCUGGGAAAGCUAAGUUCAGCAAAGACUGGCCCACAGACAGGGGCACCCUUAUACCGGAGGGUACGAGGAAGCUACCCUCCAGAUUUGCACACAGCAUCCCCUCCCAUUGACAGCUGUAGGCAUUAGUGGAGGUCAGAUAGAUGACAGAGGAAGAACUCUCUCCUACUGCAAAGAAGUUUAAAUGGGUGACCUUUCUUGCCAUACACAAAGUACCACUAAAGAAUGCCCCACAAUACAGCUUCAAUUGAGAGACCAGGAAAUGGAUGUCCGGGGACUAGCAGACAGCAAAGAAUAAAAGAGGCAACUGAUUUCUACAAUGGAGGACUAUAUGUAUCAUUUAAAGGAUUUUCAGGAAAUGUGAAUAUUCCGCUACGCAAGGCUAACUUCAAACUGUUUUUAAAAGCAAUUAAUCUAGGAAGAAAAAUAAAGUGACAAAAAGUCUUCAGGAGUCCUCCUGUACAUGGUCAUAUUAUAGAUGUAUAUUGUACCAAUCCAUAAUAAAGCAC